UCGGCGGGUGGGCGGGGCUUCCAGGGAGGCCUCCGUGUAGGCCGCAGUGAAGCCUGAACUCGAGUAGGGCCCAAGCAAGCCAGGAAGGAGGAGGCAGCCAGAGUGUUCUCUGCAGCAGAAGACUCCUUGCUGCCCUGCUUAACCCAGACCAGCAUUUGCCAGGGCUUGGUCAGUUUCAAGUAGAAGAGGAGAGCGCGUCUCACAUUCAGGAAAUGCAAUGAGCACUUGACAGGUGUCGUGGAAUUCUGCAAGAAGGAGAAGAUCCUUGUUUGAGGCAGACGCCUGUGGCGACCUUUCGAAAGUCUGGGUACUUGUUGAAACCAUGGCUGCCGGGGCCACCAUGGAGCGAUCAAGAUGCAGUUUGCAGAUUCCUGAAGGAUUUUUGCUAGAACUCUGUUUAACAGAAGGUAAAGCAGGAAAGUGUAUAGAAACCUUCAACCCCGGUUGAAUUGGAAAGCAACCCCACUGGAGAUGCGGCUGAUGCCAGCCCGCAAGCAGCAUAGAGGGCACUUUUUAUUCGUAAGAGUUUCAAACAGGUCCAUCUCUGGUGUACUCCAGGCCUGGAACAACAGAUGGAGAUAUUUAAGGUUGACCUCCCAUUCGUGUUGCUGCAGAUGAAGUGAGGACCUGCUGAGAUGCUCCGCCAAGGUGUUCUUCACUCAUCUGAUGUGGAUUGCAACCUGACCUAUUUGCCGUGCUAUGGCCCCAAUUCCAAAUUUGCGGACUGAGUAUGCAAAGGGAGCAGAAGCAUGCAUCCCUCCCCAACGGUUUAAGUAAGCGAUCACCGUAGUAUUGUCCAAGCUGAUUUGAAUGAGCUUGCCUGUCAGGAAUAGCUGGAAGGAUGUGAGAGCCUGAAACACCUCCAGGAGCUCUAAGACGGUGAUAUGCAUCUGGUGUUGGCACCGUGACCACAGACCUUGAGCUUGAAGAUCCCCGCAAUGGGCUCUGCAGCCCCGUAAGGAUGCGUCCAUCAUGAACCAGGCAGGAGAUUGGGGUACCUGGAAGGGGACUCCGGACAGCAGGUUGACCUGUUUUGUCUAUCACUGAAGGGACACAAGAAUUGGCGGUGGAAUUGUUAAGAGUAUCUGCUCAUUGUCCACAUUUGGACGAAAUACAGACAGAAACCAAAGUUGAAAACGCUGAAGACAUAGUUUGGCGAAGUGCACAGUUGAUCUGCAUGAUGCCAUCAGGCCCAGUAGUUUCUGAACUUUGUGGGCUUUUUGUCUGGGUUGCAUCACGAAGGAAGUUACUAGUGCCUUGAUGCAUAGGAAUUGUUCCUUGGGUAGAAAUGCAUGUUGCCAUGCAUCGAGGGCUGCUCCUAUGUAGUCUAUGCACUUGACAGACUCUAGUCCGGACUUUGACCAGUUGACCUGAAAGCCCAGAUCCUUGAGUAAACACAAGACUGUCGAGAAUUGCAAAUCUAUCUUGUUUUUUGGUCUUCCUGCCAGGAGCCAGUCUUCCCAGUACAGAAAAAUGGUUAGGCCCUGUGACCAAAGGUGAACCAUGAUGAUGGCCAUGGAUUUUGUAAAUUCACGGGGUGCUGUCACCAGUCCAAAUGGCAGGACAUUGUAGUGGUAGACAUGGUGACCCACCGUAAACCUUAGAAACUAUCUGUGGUUGAGUUGGAUUCCAAGGUGUAAGUAUGUGUCUCGGAGAUCCAACAUUGUGAACCAUUCCUCCCCGUGGAGAAGAGGAAGGAUGCUCUGCAAAGUCUUCAUGUGAAACUUGUGCAUGUCCACAAGACGAUUCAGCCACUGCAGGUCCAUGAUUGGCCUUAACCUCCCCCCAUCUCGUAUGGGGACCUGGAAGUAGCGGGAGUAAAAACCCCGCCACUGAUCUGCCCACCGAACAGGCGAAAUUGCCUCCUUGUCCAAAAGAGUCUUAUCUUCAGCAGUAAUGGGGAUGCCGGUGUGUACUUGAUACCACUGAAAGCUGGUAGGGUCUCGAACUCUAUGGCAUAGCCCAUAUGAACUAUGUGAAGGACCGAACGGUCUAAUGUUAUGUUGUGCCAUGCCAAGGCUUGACUUGCCAGACUGAUGUUGCAGGCAGCUAAGAUGGUAGAUUGGAAAGAAGUCGAUGGUAGUGACUCUUGGGCAAGGUAAUGCAGUGGACUGAACUCAUGAUCUAAGAUGCUGUUAGAAUCAAUGGGUUUAGGGCGUUGGCCCUGCGAGGCUCUAGACUUUGGUUGAAAGGCUUCCUUCCAAAACGUUGGGAAGGCUUGCGGAAGUCUCUCUUGUCCGUCUGCUUAUAAGGGUACUGUUGUUGCCCAAAUGUUGAGCUUGACGGUGUACUUUCACUAGAAUCUAGCAAGUUUAAAAAGAUGCUGGGAGUCAACUGGUUCCAAACUGCUUUCCAUGUCAUCUUCCUUAACGUUGAUGCUGAAGGAAAUUGGUGAAGGACACAAAGCCUGUGGCACCGGGUGAGCAGCCAGAGAUGGUGAUUGCUGUGGCAUCGUAACUGGCAAGAGAGAAUUCUCUAAUUGCAGAGCAGAUGAAGUCGUAGUCAGUACCGUUCUCGAUGUUGAGGUGAAUGCCAAGGCUCAGUGUUGAGUUGAAGGCGAUGGACGAUCCCAGGCCAUGACUUCUGGGAUCGCAGGGUGUGACUGAGGCAUCACAGGUGCUGACUGUGUGACUUUCCCUCAUAACAGUGUUGUCAGGGAAAGAGUAGCUCAAGAUGCAGUGGAAGCCUCCUCAGUGGCAGUCUGUGUAUCCUUCUCAUGAGGCGCCUCCUCAGCACUGGAGCCCUGAUGCCGGGACUUAUGUCUCUUAUGAUGAUAAAAAUUUGAAGGUGGCUUCGGCGCUUUA